GACGAACGCUGGCGGCGUGCCUAAUACAUGCAAGUCGAACGAGAGCGACCGGUGCUUGCACUGGUCAAUCUAGUGGCGAACGGGUGAGUAACACGUGGGUAACCUGCCCAUCAGAGGGGGAUAACAUCCGGAAACGGAUGCUAAAACCGCAUAGGUCUUCGAACCGCAUGGUUUGAAGAGGAAAAGAGGCGCAGGCUUCUGCUGAUGGAUGGACCCGCGGUGCAUUAGCUAGUUGGUGAGGUAACGGCUCACCAAGGCCGUGAUGCAUAGCCGACCUGAGAGGGUGAUCGGCCACAUUGGGACUGAGACACGGCCCAAACUCCUACGGGAGGCAGCAGUAGGGAAUCUUCCGCAAUGGACGCAAGUCUGACGGAGCAACGCCGCGUGAGUGAAGAAGAUUUUCGGAUCGUAAAACUCUGUUGUUAGAGAAGAACAAGUGCUAGAGUAACUGUUAGCGCCUUGACGGUAUCUAACCAGAAAGCCACGGCUAACUACGUG
rnacentral:rRNA from 1 species